rnacentral:snRNA from 1 species
GCUCACUUUGGCAGAGCAUAUACUAAAAUUGGAAUGAUACAGAUAAGAUUAGCAUGGCCCCUGUGCAAGAAUGACAUGCAAAUU